rnacentral:lncRNA from 1 species
UUACUUCCAAUUCUGAGCACGGAAACCAGAAGGAGCUUGUCACUGAUUUAAUGGGUGGUCUAUCAAUGGAUGAAAAUACCUCAAGUACGACGCAGAAGGGAGCAUCUCCUUCCAUGCAAUUUGAAUCUUUAUUUUCAGGCUUAACUAACCAUAUUCCUGGCAAUACUUCAGAUGGCAAGUUGAGCUCUCAGCCAAUGGGGUUGAAUGUAAAUCCCAUUUUUCCUAAUGGUACUCUGCCUUUUAAUAUGCAACCUGGCUUCAUGUUGAACCAAGCUUAUUCUUCUCAGCCUCUUAAUUACGGUGCCAUGGGAACUCU